rnacentral:misc_RNA from 1 species
UCCGAUUUGUCACCGGCAGUCUCCCAUGAGUCCCCGACAUUACUCGCUGGCAACAUGGGACAGGGGUUGCGCUCGUUGCGGGACUUAACCCAACAUCUCACGACACGAGCUGACGAUAGCCAUGCACCACCUGUAUACCGACCACAAGGGGGCCGUAUCUCUACGGCUUUCCGGUAUAUGUCAAGCCCAGGUAAGGUUCCUCGCGUAUCAUCGAAUUAAACCACAUGCUCCUCCGCUUGUGCGGGCCCCCGUCAAUUCCUUUGAGUUUCAACCUUGCGGUCGUACUCCCCAGGUGGAUUACUUAACGCUUUCGCUUUGCCGCUGAACGGUGUAUCGCCAACAACUAGUAAUCAUCGUUUACUGCGUGGACUAC